rfam:Clostridium hathewayi WAL-18680 genomic scaffold supercont1.1, whole genome shotgun sequence.
UGAGUAGGACAGAUGGUCGCUGCCGCAGGAGCCGAAAGGCGGCGGGAGAGGAAAGUCCGGGCUUCACAGGGCAGGGUGCCAGAUAGCGUCUGGCGGAGGCGACUCCAGGGACAGUGCAACAGAAAUAUACCGCGUGGCGAGGCCAAUGGCUGCAUCACGUAAGGGUGGAAGGGCAGUGUAAGAGACUACCGCCUGGCUGGUAACAGACAGGGCAUAUGUAAACCCCAUCCGAAGCAAGGCCGAACAGAGAGCAUAAGGCGGCCCGUCAGCUCUCGGGUAGGCCGCUUGAGCCCGGUGGCGACACCGGGCCUAGAUAGAUGACCAUCCAACGACAUAACCCGGCUUAUCGUCCUGCUCAGACA